rnacentral:rRNA from 1 species
UGCGUAGGCGGAUAAAUAAGUCAGUGGUGAAAUCUUUCGGCUCAACCGAGAAACUGCCAUUGAUACUGUUAGUCUUGAGUUCGGUUGAGGUAGGCGGAAUGUGUAAUGUAGCGGUGAAAUGCUUAGAUAUUACACAGAACACCAAUUGCGUAGGCAGCUUACUAGACCGACACUGACGCUGAGGCACGAAAGCGUGGGGAGCGAACAGGGUUAUAUACCCUGGUAGUCC